rnacentral:tRNA from 1 species
GACAUGUGCCCGAAAACUUAGGGCUUACCUUGAUAGGGUAAUAUAUAGAGGUUUAAACCCUCUCAU